rnacentral:rRNA from 1 species
AACGAACGCUGGCGGCAUGCCUAACACAUGCAAGUCGAACGAAAAGUUCGGGUCUAGUGGCGCACGGGGUCGUAAAGGGUGGGAAAAUGCCCUGAGGAUCGGAAUAACUCCCCGAAAGGGGCGCUAAUACCGGAGAAUGUCUUCGGACCAGAGAUUUUUCGACUGUGGAGGGGCCCGAGUUGGAUUAGCUAGUUGGUAGGGUCAAAGCCUACAACGGCGAGGAUCCAUAGCUGGUCUGAGAGGAUGAUCAGCCACACUGGGACUCGGCCACGGCCCCGACUCCUACGGGCGGCAGCGGUGGUGACUCUUGGACCAUGGGCGAAAUCCUGCUCCAGCGCUUGCGCGUGAGUGAUGAAGGCCUUAUGGUCGUCAAGCUCUUUUAACCGGGCUGAUAAUGACAGUACCGGGAGAAUAAGCACCGGCUAACUCCGUG